UCAAUCAUUUAAAAACUACUGCAUGAUGGAUUAUGUAAAUUGUAUGGAAAGAUAUGAAGUUUGGCAAAUAGUGCAUAUGGGACAAUGUUAUGACCUCAAGGAUAAUGCAAAUCAUGAACAUUUUGAAUAUCAAGGUGAUACUUUCUUGGAUUACGACGUUCUACCAAAUGAACAUGUUUGGGAUUUUCAGGGUUAUGUCUGAACGAAUAAUGAUAAUAAUAGAUCUUCGGGACAGUUAUCAAGUGUGUAUCAUUUUUGUAAGCUUGGUAUUUUUACCUGUUCUUGCAAGCACUGGUAA
rnacentral:lncRNA from 1 species